rnacentral:rRNA from 1 species
AUGUAUAAGUUUAAUCGUUUUAACGAGAAACCGCGAACGGCUCAUUACAAUGGSCAUGAUUUACUUGAUCUUGAUUAUCUAAAUGGAUAACCGUGGAAAAGCUAGAGCUAAUACAUGCACCAAAGCUUUGUCCUCUCGGAAAAGCGCAUUUAUUAGAACAAAACCACGCGGCUUCGGCUGCUUCUUGUUGACUCAGAAUAACUAAGCUGACCGCAUGGCCUUGUGCCGGCGGCGUGUCUUUCAAGCGUCCACUUUAUCAACUUGACGGGAGCAUAAUCGACUCCCGUGGUGGCGACGGAUAACGGAGGAUCAGGGUUCGACUCCGGAGAAGGGGCCUGAGAAAUGGCCACUACGUCUAAGGAUGGCAGCAGGCGCGCAAAUUACCCACUCUCGGCUCGAGGAGGUAGUGACGAGAAAUAACGAGACUGUUCUCUUUGAGGCCGGUCAUCGGAAUGGGUACAAUUUAAACCCUUUAACGAGUAUCAAGCAGAGGGCAAGUCUGGUGCCAGCAGCCGCGGUAAUUCCAGCUCUGCAAAUACAUAGAAUUAUUGCUGCGGUUAGAAAGCUCAUAGUUGGAUUCGUAUCGAUACCUUGGAACCCUUCGGGUGUCUCUAGGUGUUAUCGAUUUAUCGUAAUGUUCGGUUUUGAGUCCUUAACAGGAUUCUUAACAGGCAUUGCAAGUUUACUUUGAACAAAUCAGAGUGCUUCAAACAGGCGUUUUCGCUUGAAUGAUCGUGCAUGGAAUAAUAGAAAAUGAUUUCGGUUCAGUUUUAUUGGUUUUACGGACUGAGAUAAUGGUUAACAGAGACAAACGGGGGCAUUUGUAUGGUCCCGUGAGAGGUGAAAUUCUUGGACCGUGGCCAGACAAACUACAGCGAAAGCAUUUGCCAAGAAUGUUUUUAUUAAUCAAGAACGAAAGUCAGAGGUUCGAAGGCGAUCAGAUACCGCCCUAGUUCUGACCGUAAAUGAUGCCAACUAGCGAUCCGCCGAUGGAAAUUAUAUUGCCUUGGUGGGGAGCUUCCCGGAAACGAAAGUCUUCCGGUUCCGGGGGAAGUAUGGUUGCAAAGCUGAAACUUAAAGGAAUUGACGGAAGGGCACCACCAGGAGUGGAGCCUGCGGCUUAAUUUGACUCAACACGGGGAAACUCACCCGGCCCGGACACUGUGAGGAUUGACAGAUUGAUAGCUUUUUCAUGAUUCAGUGGAUGGUGGUGCAUGGCCGUUCUUAGUUCGUGGAGUGAUUUGUCUGGUUUAUUCCGAUAACGAGCGAGACUCUAACCUACUAAAUAGUUGGUACAUACUCUUAGUGUAUACAGCUUCUUAGAGGGAUUUGCGGCGUUCAGCCGAAAGAAAUUGAGCAAUAACAGGUCUGUGAUGCCCUUAGAUGUCCGGGGCUGCACGCGCGCUACACUGGCAAAAUCAACGUGCUUGUCCUACCCUGAAAGGGGCGGGUAAACCAUUGAAAAUUUGCCGUGAUUGGGAUCGGAAAUUGCAAUUAUUUUCCGUGAACGAGGAAUUCCAAGUAAGUGCGAGUCAUCAGCUCGCGUUGAUUACGUCCCUGCCCUUUGUACACACCGCCCGUCGCUGCCCGGGACUGAGCCAUUUCGAGAAAUUUGGGGACCGUUGAUUUAAUUUUUCUAAAUUACUUUGAUGGAAACCAAUUUAAUCGCAGUGGCUUGAACCGGGC